rnacentral:lncRNA from 1 species
GAGGGAAGCCCAUUUGAUCCAAUAAAUCCAAUAAGAAAACCUAGUUGACAUUAUCAUAUGCUUUUUCAAAAUCAAUUUUUGAAGAUGAACGCCUUUCAAAACCAAUUCAUCUGAUAUUACCCUCAUUCAUCGACACCUACAAUUGAAUGCGACAUUCAAUGCUUCACCACGUUGGCAACUGAAUACGAGAUUGAAUGCUUCACCAGCGAUUGAGUGCUUCACCUGCGUUGCUUCAUAUUUCUCUACCGUUUACAUUUACCCGCGAUUGAAUCCCCUGUCCGCUUCAAUUGAAGCCUACUUUAAGCCCACUUCCGUGUGUUCUAAGAUUAUCUCAAUCGGGUAAGUUUAGUUUCUACUUGAAGCCUACAUUGCCAUCAACCCAUUCGCUACUAACUGGUUGUUCCCCUGUGCAAGCAAUUUAUUUCAAGAUUCAUUCAACUUGUUAGUCAACAGUGGUGUGGAUGCAGGGCAAGUUAUGUUUCACGGCCCGAGACUGCCUAUGGGCUUCUGAGUACUUUACUUGCAAAACUACGUGAAUUGAAUUUGAGACUGAAGUGGAGAUGGGGCGUUUGGAAGGAAGGAAUGGAGGAUCCAUGGAUAGUAGAUGGUGAAUUUAGCAUUCGGGUCUCAAUCGGAUAAUAUGAUCAUAGCUUUUCCUGAUCCAGAUGAUAAUUCGGUAUCGUUUUGCUUUUGGGUUCAGAGAUGCAUGUCAUGGGCUCGUUCUGCUUGCACCGAAUGGACAUGGGACCCGUCUUGCACAAGUUAUACAACGCUGAGUAAGAUUUCAGCUCCAUAAAGGGUGUAGCGGACUGCACAUAUAUGCGGAUGGACACGGAACCUUGGAAACAACCUCUCCCAAUAGACGAUGACAGUGGCACGACUACUGAAAUCUCACACCAUGAAUGAGUGAAGUGCUUGCGAAUGAUCAGCACAGAAUCUUUCUCUUCUGAACUCAGGCCUAGCUCAAGUGCUCAACUUGUUUGCAUCCAGCAGGUCAAACCGGUUGUUAAUGGCCCCCCUUAUAGGCGGUGAAACCGAAGCAUUAAACAGGCUUAAAAAGUUUGCAGCCGAAUGCCAAGCCCAUCCUCCGAAAGAAACCAAUGAUGGAAAUAACGAUAGCGUUUAUGGUGCAAGUUUUUCUUGCAAAAUCUCUCCAUGGCUUGCAUUAGGAUGUAUCUCUCCUCGCGCAGUGUUUGACGGAGGUUCGUGGUAAACAUUAUAAAGAUAUGGAAUUAGAAACAUGGCAUGAUUUGGCUAUCGUGUAUAUAAACUUAUCUCAAUGGCGUGAUGUCGAAGCUUGUCUCAAGAUCCGAGGCCAUCAACAUGAAUGCGAUUACGAUGAUGAUGAUGACAGUGAUAACAUGGUACUCCUUCAGGUGAAGCAUGGCGAAUGUUUGGUGCUGCUGAUAUGUUUAACAUCCUGAACGAGAAGUCCGUUCCAUUUUAGCAAAACAAGUUCUGGUACAAGACCAAUUUCUAUUUCCAAACAUAAGGCCACUCGAUGUGGGGCUCGGCUUGGCCCGUCGCCGGGCCUCAACACCAUCUCAGGCUUGACGUCGUCGAUAGUUUUGUAUUACAUGAUGAGGCGUUAUUCAGACUCGUAUGAUUAUUUUAAGGUUGCUGUUUCAAAACUAAGAGUGGUUGCAGAGAAGAAAUCAACAUUAUUUGGUAAUGUUUUGAACUAAAUGGGACUCGCUUGUGUUUAGAUCGAUCUGUUAGACGAGGCUGCUAAUCUUUUUGAAGAAGCAAAGGGUGUUUUGGAGGCGGAUUAUGGGCCUCAUCAUCCAGAUACACUUGGGGUUUACAGCAAUCUUGCUGGAACAUAUGAUGCAAUGGGCAGGUGGAAGGAUGCAAUUGAGAUACUGGAAUAUGUUGUAGGGAUGAGAGAGUAGAAGCUAGGAACCGCGAGUUCAGAUGUGGAUGAUGAGAAAAGAAGGCUGGCCCAGUUACUGAAAGACGUGGGUAGGGAUCGAAGCAAGAAGGAUUUGUCACUUGAAUUCCUGCUUGAUGGUUAAUUAACAAACUCAUCUCUCUCCCCCUCUCACUAUUUAAAUAGCAAUUCAUGUAUACAUACAUACGUGAUAUAUGUAUGUAUAUUCAUCCAGUGUAUGCUUCCGUCCUGUACAUCCUGCAUUUUUAAAACUUGUUCACAUAUGUGUGUUUGUGAAUUGUGAUGUGUAAGUAGUAAGCCUGAAAAAAAGGGGCAGGCCAGGACGUGUAAUGGGUCAAGACUGGUUUGGGUCGACGUUGUUGUAAUCAUAUGAAGGGUAGCAGAGAUUUAUAUAUCUCAUGGAGUCAUGGAAUGGUAGGCUUUCUUGAUUCCUUACUAUAGUAACUUGUUUUACAAAUUCACAUUAUGUUAGACAGAAUUUUGUUUGAUUGAGAUCUUAAAAGUUAUGCAGCAUUAUCAAAAGUACAUGCAAUAGGUAUGUUGGUCAUGAAGGGUUUGUAAUGAGGUGUUUGAGAUUGGUUACUAACAUUCCAUCUGUUUAUU